AAUUUUCACGUUAAAUUCUUGUGUUAUUUAUUGUUUUUUUAAUGUUUAUUUUUUCCAAAUUAGAAUGUUAGGAUGGAUGCAUCAUUAUCCAUAUACCUCGCAUGUUAGUAUAUUGGAGUCACUUCUAGUAUUUAUUUAAAAGUAUUCUCCCUAAUAUAAUAUUAUUGUUUUUGACAUCUAUGCCAUACCCUAGCUAGUAAUCACAUGAGUACAUGUGAUAAUUUUUUG
rnacentral:lncRNA from 1 species